UACAAUGUAUGACUGAACAUGAACAUUGCAA
rnacentral:piRNA from 1 species